rnacentral:rRNA from 1 species
CGGGGGGGGGGGCAAGCGUUGUUCGGAAUUACUGGGCGUAGAGGGCGCGUAGGCGGACGAGACAGUCUUUCGUGAAAUCCCACGGGCUCAACCGUGGAACUGCGGGAGAUACUACUCGUCUUGAGUUCGGGAGAGGAGUGUGGAAUUCCCAGUGUAGCGGUGAAAUGCGUAGAUAUUGGGAGGAACACCGGUGGCGAAGGCGGCACUCUGGACCGUUACUGACGCUGAGGCGCGAAAGCUAGGGGAGCAAACGGGAUUAGAUACCCCGGUAGUCCUAGCUGUAAACGAUGAGCACUUGGUGUAGCGGGUAUCGACCCCUGCUGUGCCGGAGUUAACGCAUUAAGUGCUCCGCCUGGGGAGUACGGUCGCAAAGGCUG